rnacentral:sRNA from 1 species
CUGGCAGCUCAGGAGAGUGUCCACAGAACGGGCAGCAUCAGUGCCAGCUUCCUCACAGUGCCCCGCCAAUGUGCCUCAAAGAUGACUGGGGUGGGACUCUCCAUGGCCCAUACAACCCUAGGCCAUU